rnacentral:rRNA from 1 species
AAAUUGAAGAGUUUGAUCAUGGCUCAGAUUGAACGCUGGCGGCAGGCCUAACACAUGCAAGUCGAGCGGCAGCGGGAAGUAGUUUACUACUUUGCCGGCGAGCGGCGGACGGGUGAGUAAUGUCUGGGAAACUGCCUGAUGGAGGGGGAUAACUACUGGAAACGGUAGCUAAUACCGCAUAACGUCUUCGGACCAAAGUGGGGGACCUUCGGGCCUCACGCCAUCGGAUGUGCCCAGAUGGGAUUAGCUAGUAGGUGGGGUAAUGGCUCACCUAGGCGACGAUCCCUAGCUGGUCUGAGAGGAUGACCAGCCACACUGGAACUGAGACACGGUCCAGACUCCUACGGGAGGCAGCAGUGGGGAAUAUUGCACAAUGGGCGCAAGCCUGAUGCAGCCAUGCCGCGUGUGUGAAGAAGGCCUUCGGGUUGUAAAGCACUUUCAGCGAGGAGGAAGGCAUAAAGGUUAAUAACCUUUGUGAUUGACGUUACUCGCAGAAGAAGCACCGGCUAACUCCGUGCCAGCAGCCGCGGUAAUACGGAGGGUGCAAGCGUUAAUCGGAAUUACUGGGCGUAAAGCGCACGCAGGCGGUUUGUUAAGUCAGAUGUGAAAUCCCCGCGCUUAACGUGGGAACUGCAUUUGAAACUGGCAAGCUAGAGUC